CUUAGAUAAUACUUUGUUUUACUAUAGUUACUUAUGUAUGUUUGUCCCCUUUAUUAGAAGGAAAGCUCUUGGGGGACAGAGAUUGCAAUAGAUUCAUCACUAGAUGUCAUUCAACCCCAGGGCUAUAAACCUAAUAGAUGUGCAGUGAUUACCUUCCCUGUGGGCCAUGAAUCCUGCAUGGAUGGAUGGAUGAAUGAAUGAAUGAAUGAAUGGCUUCUCCCAGAAAGCUUUGCUGAGUGUUACAAAGGAAUGAGUUUAGUUGGGUGUGACUCAUUUCUGGUGGACCCACGUCAGCUGCCAGAGACCAGAGACCACUGUUUUUCCUCUAACUGGUCACAAGCCAUCUGUUUAAUAAUCAAUUCUAAAAAAUUUCAGGAAUUUGGCCUUGUAAAAUUUGCUCUCUUAAACAGUGACCUAUCUGUGUUUCUCCAGCUUUCCUCUUAACGCAUCAUGAUUUGACUAACAGCCCCAGAAUAUCACUGCGAUCAUGUGUCCAAGAUUGCUCGGUACCAGGAAGCACACGGCUUCAGAAUUCCUGAGCUCAUGGACACUGUGCUAAUCCACAUAGGUGCUGUGGAAUAGCUGUUCACUGUUCUUCAGACAAGACAGAUCAGCUUAGCAGGGCAGACUUUGCAGAGUCUCCUGUUUUCUUGCUGUCCUGGGGACAGAACUCAGAGCCUCACCCAUGCUAGGCGAGUGCUCUGCCACUAAGCCACACCCCAAGCCCAAGUCUCUAAACUUUCACAACUUUACAUUCCUCUCAAUAAAAAUACUUUUGAGCACGUAUCUUCAACAUAUGGAUAUUUAUUUAUAAAUCAUCUACCUGUACUACUGUGCCAAUGUGCUAUAUAAAUUAUAAAACAUAUGUAAAACAGAAACUAAAAGGAUGAGAUUGUUUUCAUCUAGACAAAUAGAAGUCCUUUUCCUUCCUCCUGCCUGUGCUUGCCUCCAAUCCAGGUACAGGGACUCACUGUGGUGGCCAUGAAUGCAGUGAGGACGAUGAGUCAAUCUCCUGCAGCCCAGGAGGGAGCCUCCUCAGACCCCAGAGCUACUUCACAGCUGUGUGCCACCUGCCAUGAGGUCGAGCACCAGGAUGCAUAAGUGUGCACCCUGUAUAGGACAGUGUGUGGGAGGAGUCCUGGGUGUGACUGCCACAGGCUGGCUACGGGCCCUGCGGGUGCCUCACCCUGGGCAGGUGGCUGGGUGCCACCCUCCAUUCUGCCUCCAGGACGACAGGGCAGCUGCACCCCUUCCUCUGCCCUGGGAAUUAAAAGAGCUGACACCUGUGAGUACCUGCCCGGGAUAUCAUGACAGGAGCAGAGGAGUUAUUUCCCACGUGAACUUGGAAAUGAGCCUUCCCAGAGAAGGCAGGUGUGGGCUGGCAGACACCAGCCAUUCUCUGUGUCCGGAGAACAAGCAGUCACAACCAGGCUCAGCCCCAAGACUACUUCACGGUGCACAGCUGCAGACUUUGGACCCAUCCGCCAAUGAUGGACCACAGAAUUCAUCUUGUGUUCCUGGUAAUGACAUAAACCCCUAAAGAUCAGCAGCCACAUAUCACACAUAGUAGGCCCUCAACAAACAUGAGGAUUUUCAGAUUAUGUCACAGUGUUUGGAUUCCACUGCUCCUUCUACCCUCUGUUGUUUCUAUGCAACUGUGGGAGAUCUCACCUAUGCCAGGAACCAGGAAUCAGUACCAUCCAAGAGUGGGGGGAUCAUUAAAGUCUGUCUUAGAAAAGCCUGGGGUUCACAUCUUGCUAUUUUCAUAAUUCAGCCCUUCCUCCUCUUGUGUUCACGAGCUAUUUCCCUUACCAAGGUUGCUCUCUGAGAGGCACUCACAGAGGGCAGGGCCAUCCUGGUCCUUUUGGGGAGGGGGUCUAUCAAGGUCACCCUCAGGCCUGAAUGAGGUCAACUUCAAAGAAGAAGUAACAGAGGAAAACUAGCUUCAUAACUUUAAUUUGACAAAAUGGCCUUUAAAAGAAAAUUUAGGUUAGACAGGAUUAGAACUUAAUCACACUCAUUUUCUAACAGUAAAGUAAUAAAAAAGCAUCUUUCUCAUCCCAUUUUACAGGGGCUAUUCCUUCUACUCCUACACAAAUGCUGUCUCUGUCUCCCCACCUCUACCUGAGCAAGACAAAGUGACCCACACACUUUUUGCAACUCAUCUACUAUUAAUAGCAGACUAAGAUCAUUCUUGAGUUAUCUAUCAGCCUCCAUUACCUCCUGCUUAAUGUAUAAUUCGUAUUAAAGGCUAGUGCCAGAGGAGAGGAGCAGCAGGAUGCUCAUGGUACUCUCUAGUCCUUCCCUGGUCCUUUCCCAUCCCCACCUACACUUGCUUAGCUGAGUGAUUCUGAAAAAUCCUCUGCCUCACUGGCACAGGCAUCUUGGUCUACUGCUGGCUCAGGAGCUCCAUUCUACGGAAACACCCUUUUCCAUCUUCACCCUCUCCACACACCAAGCUUUAAAGUGCUCCAAACAUCCAGAGGUGUCUGGUGGGGUGGAGAGAAUUACAGAUUCUUAUGGCCACCAGCCUCUACUUCUUGUCUCAAAUGCAUCCCAGAUGCAAGAAGCACGCUGCCUGGCAGCCACCUCCUCUGGGCCACAUUUCCUUCUGGGCAUUGCCACCACCGCCAGAGGAAGCAGAUCCAGCUCCACACCCCAGCACCUGUGUGUACUCCUCAGCAGUGCUUCUCUUCCAAGGCCUUUUGUGUCCUUGAAAUAGUGGCACUAAAAUGUUCCCGAUUGCAGCUGUUCACUGGAUUAUUCUAGUUCACACUGCAAUGACGGGCUGUGGAAGCGGGCACUUGAGACAAAAAUAGGCAUUAUUUAUGGUGCUUGCUUCUUGGUCUUUACAUCUUUGGGGGAGGGCAACUACUUUUUGUUUGCCAAUGUUCCGUGAUAGGCCAGUGAAGCCAGUGUGAAAGGACAUUUGCUGACAGUGCACACACAGAGGGGGAAGGCAGGGCCUGGUGGUCUGUGCCUCCCCCCUGAAGCAUCCUGGAAGCCACCAACAAGGAUGGGUCCUGGAAAAGCCACUCUUGAGCACCAGUGCCCAGGCUACGGCCCUCCCUUCCUGGGCCCAGAGCAGAGCCUACAGACCAACUGGCCUCUCCCCCAGCCUCCUCUGUCUGCAAAAUAAAGCCCACCCUAUAUGACAAUUAGGGGUGCUGGCCAGAGUUCCCUGCUCACUGCAUAGCCACGGCUGUCACCAUUUUCCCCUCCCGGUUGCCUUGGAUGAGGCCACUGUUUGCACAUGAGGGGCCUUUGUGGACAUGCUCUCCAGAGCCUGUGAGUCAGUUUUCAGAGGCUUCUUCACAAGGCUGCAAAGGAAAACCUCAAUUUUGGCAUUUCCUUGAAAAAAAUACCCGAGGUUUCUUCUUGCAGCUUGAUAUUAGCUUGUGUUGUUAGAACGAUACCCAAGAGCUGGGCAGCCAUUCCUGCCUUAGUGAUGUUUCUGAGUGCUGUGAACCAUCACUCCACCCCAGGAGGGGUCAGCAAGACUCCCCGUUUGCAGAUGCUGAAACUGAGGCUCAGAGGAUCAAGUGCUAUUUGCUCAUCACUACAGAAGCAGGAGAGGAGGUGGAUUUGUCCCCAGACGACCUGACCCUGACUCCUAGUCCCCACAAGAUGCUCUGGUUUCUCCCAGUCUAACUCACUCUAUAAGAUCAGUUAUUUCAGUUCCCUAGGAUAGAGAAAGCCAUCUUCUAAUACUUAGAUGCUCCUUUCGAUUCUCUGUGUGAAGUACUCUAGGAGAUCUCACUAUUUAAUAGAUUGUUAUCCCUGCACUGCCUUUUCAGAAGAAAUCUGAUGUGGCAAAGUAUUUGGAUUUUGUUUUCAGUCUAUUUUUGCAGUGCUGGGAAUGGUACCCCACUCCAGAAUGCUUAGCUUUUACUUUACGAGUGAGAUUUCCCUCUCUUGACUCAAGUAUUCCCUGACGAUAUCAAUGAAAGUAUCUUGC
ensembl:lncRNA